GAAGGCGGCUGUGGCAGCGGUGAGAGGGGGAAGGAGACGGGAAGAGAGAAGACGGUGAUGAUGUGGGAAUUGGGUGGGAGAAGGUGUAGCUAUAGGAGGGGAAGUGACAAAUGGGAGAAAUAACGGUGGAGGAAUCGGACGGGAUGGCAUGGUGGGAAAGGUGUAGAGACUAGAAAGGAGAGAAGGGGUGGAAGCAAAGCUUCAUGUUCGUGGUUGUUCUAGCAUCUGUGGCGUGAUGGGUUCUUUCCUGUUAUUGUUGUGAAUUUUGUUUCUGUUGUGAUUUUCGCUUUUCAUGAAUGUCGGCUCACCGCCAUCGCUACGGGCCGGCCUUUUCUCGCGCUAUUAAAAA
rnacentral:misc_RNA from 1 species